rnacentral:rRNA from 1 species
GAUGAACGCUGGCGGCGUGCCUAAUACAUGCAAGUCGAGCGAACAGACGAGGAGCUUGCUCCUCUGACGUUAGCGGCGGACGGGUGAGUAACACGUGGAUAACCUACCUAUAAGACUGGGAUAACUUCGGGAAACCGGAGCUAGUACCGGAUAAUAUAUUGAACCGCAUGGUUCAAUAGUGAAAGACGGUUUUGCUGUCACUUAUAGAUGGAUCCGCGCCGCAUUAGCUAGUUGGUAAGGUAACGGCUUACCAAGGCAACGAUGCGUAGCCGACCUGAGAGGGUGAUCGGCCACACUGAAACUGAGACACGGUCCAGACUCCUACGGGAGGCAGCAGUAGGGAAUCUUCCGCAAUGGGCGAAAGCCUGACGGAGCAACGCCGCGUGAGUGAUGAAGGUCUUCGGAUCGUAAAACUCUGUUAUUAGGGAAGAACAAAUGUGUAAGUAACUAUGCACGUCUUGACGGUACCUAAUCAGAAAGCCACGGCUAACUACGUG